UGAAUACGAGAUGCUACGGCGUCGAAGCAGUCUAUGUCAUACUUCCAAGAAAAGCUCGCACUGUCAUAAACAAAUAAUGCCUGUACCAUAACCGACACAGGUGGGUAGGUAGAGUAUACUAAGGGGCGCGAGAUAACUCUCUCUAAGGAACUCGGCAAAAUGACUCCGUAACUUCGGGAGAAGGAGUGCCUUAUUUAUAAGGUUGCAAUAACAAGAUCCAAGCAACUGUUUAUCAAAAACACAGGUCACCGCUAAGUCGUAAGACGAUGUAUGGGGGCUGACGCCUGCCCAGUGCCAGAAGGUUAAAGAAGUUGGUUAGCAUUCGCGAAGCUGAUAACUGAAGCCCUGGUGAACGGCGGCCGUAACAAUAACGGUCCUAAGGUAGCGAAAUUCCUUGUCGGGUAAGUUCCGACCCGCACGAAAGGCGUAAUGAUUUGGAUACUGUCUCGGAGAGGGGCUCGGUGAAAUAGACUUGUCUGUGAAGAUGCGGACUACCUGCACCAGGACAGAAAGACCCUAUGAAGCUUUACUGUAACUUGAGAUUGAAAUUGGACUUUACUUGCGCAGUAUGGGUGGGAGGCGUUGAUAAUAUUCUUGCGGGAUUAUUUGAGCCAUCAGUGAGAUACCACUCUUGUAAUGUUAGAUUUCUAACUUUGUAUCAUAUCUGGUCAAAGGACAGUUUCAGGCGGGCAGUUUGACUGGGGCGGUCGCCUCCUAAACGGUAACGGAGGCGCACAAAGGUUUCCUCUGAACGGGUAGAAAUCGUAUCUAGAGUGUAAAGGCAUAAGGAAGCUUGACUGUGAGACCUACAAGUCGAGCAGGGACGAAAGUCGGUCUUAGUGAUCUGACGGUGCUGAGUGGAAAGGCCGUCACUCAACGGAUAAAAGUUACUCUAAGGAUAACAGGCUGAUCUCCCCCAAGAGUUCACAUCGACGGGGAGGUUUGGCACCUCGAUGUCGGCUCAUCGCAUCCUGGGGCGGUAGUACGUCCCAAGGGUUGGGCUGUUCGCCCAUGAAAGCGGUACGCGAGCUGGGUUCAGAACGUCGUGAGACAGUUCGGUCCAUAUCCGGUGUAGGCGUUAGAAUAUUGAGAGGAGCCUUCUUUAGUACGAGAGGACCGAGAAGGACAUACCUCUGGUGUACCAGUUAUCGUGCCAACGGUAAACGCUGGGUAGCUAUGUAUGGAGUGGAUAACCGCUGAAAGCAUCUAAGUGGGAAGCCCACCACAAGAUAAGUACUCUCA
rnacentral:rRNA from 1 species